rnacentral:lncRNA from 1 species
GGCACAGUUCCUCUUGGCUUCCCCUGGCUAGGGGAGGGAGUUCCCCAAUCCCUGGCACUUCCCUGGUGAAACAAUGCCCCACCCUGCCUUGGCUUGCCCUCUAUGGGCUGCACCCCCUGUCUAACCAGUCCCGAUGAGAUGAGCCAGAUACCUCAGCUGGAAAUGCAGAAAUCACCCACCUUCUGCGUUGAUCUCUGCGGGAGCUGUAGACUGGAGCUCUUCCUAUUCGGCCAUCUUGCCAGCCACCCGUACUGUACUUUGGAAGAAAGUCACUACAUAUAGCCAGCACUUUAAAAGAAUGGAGAAUUAUGGUCCCUAUCCUUAAGGCAAAUACAUUGGAGACUUCUCAACUUUCUGCUUCUGAUGAUCUCAACUUGUGGUAUGGCAAAAGGAGAGCAAAAUGUUCACCCAGGGGUCUGAGUUUGGUUCAAGAGAGGAACUACAGCUGUUGGUGACUACAACCAUCUGCCCAGAUGACAUCGUGAUCAACUCCUCUGAAUCACUCUAAAGGAACGAGAAGUCCUGGCAGCUGAGUCAUGAUCCCCCAGGAGCCAUUAAGAAGUUAAUCUUCAGUCACUUCCAUCCAAACAGAAGAAAACCCAUGAAGGAUGAGAACUAUGGGUCCUGAGAAUGACAGGUAUUGAAGACAGGAUUUAUCUUCUCUACUUCUUCUUUUAGAAGCAGAUCAAGAAACUGGCGAUUGAAGAGUAACUGAAAGAAACGCAAUCUGAUCUUACUAGCAGUGAAAGAGCGAGUCUCCCUCUGAUGCCGAGCAGAAGCUAGACUGUACUGCUGCCAUCUCAGCUCACUGCAACCUCCCUGCCUGAUUCUCCUGCCUCAGCCUGCUGAGUGCCUGCAAUUGCAGGCGCGCCGCCACGCCUGACUGGUUUUCGUAUUUUUUUGGUGGAGACGGGGAUUCGCUGUGUUGGCCGGGCUGGUCUCCAGCUCCUAACCGCGAGUGAUCCACCAGCCUCGGCCUCCUGAGGUGCCGGGAUUGCAGACGGAGUCUGGUUCACUCAGUGCUCAAUGGCGCCCAGACUGGAGUGCAGUGGCGUGAUCUCAGCUCGCUACAACCUCCACCUCCCAGCCGCCUCCCUUGGCCUCCCAAAGUGCAGAGAUUGCAGCCUCUGCCCGGCCGCCACCCCGCCUGGGAAGUGAGGAGCGUCUCUGCCUGGCCGCCCAUUGUCUGGGAUGUGAGGAGCCCCUCUGCCUGGCUGCCCAGUCUGGAAAGUGAGGAGUGUCUCUGCCUGGCCGCCAUCCCAUCUAGGAAGUGAGGAGCGCCUCUUCCCGGCCGCCAUCCCAUCUAGGAAGUGAGGAGCCUCUCUGCCCAGCCGCCCAUCGUCUGAGAUGUGGGGAGCGCCUCUGCCCCGCCGCCCCGUCUGGGAUGUGAGGAGCGCCUCUACCCCGCCGCGACCCCGUCUGGGAGGUGAGGAGCGUCUCUGCCCGGCGGCCCCGUCUGGGAAGUGAGGAGACCCUCCGCCCGGCAGCCGCCCCAUCUGAGAAGUGAGGAGCCCCUCUGCCCAGCAGCCACCCUGUCUGGGAAGUGAGGAGCGUCUCUGCCCAGCAGCCACCCCGUCUGGGAGGGAGGUGGGGGGUCAGCCCCCCGCCCGGCCAGCCGCCCCGUCCGGGAGGUGAGGGGCGCCUCUGCCCGGCGGCCCCUACUGGGAAGUGAGGAGCCCCUCUGCCCGGCCAGCCGCCCCGUCUGGGAAGUGAGGAGCGUCUCCGCCCAGCAGCCACCCCGUCCGGGAGGGAGGUGGGGGGAUCAGCCCCCCGCCCGGCCAGCCGCCCAGUCCGGGAGGGAGGUGGGGGGGUCAGCCCCCCGCCCGGCCAGCCGCCCCGUCCGGGAGGUGAGGGGUGCCUCUGCCCGGCCGCCCCUACUGGGAAGUGAGGAGCCCCUCUGCCCGGCCAGCCGCCCGGUCCGGGAGGGAGGUGGGGGGGUCAGCCCCCUGCCUGGCAAGCCGCCCCGUCUGGGAGGGAGGUGGGGGGAUCAGCCCCCCGCCGGGCCAGCCACCCCGUCCGGGAGGUGAGGGGUGCCUCUGCCCGGCCGCCCCUACUGGGAAGUGAGGAGCCCCUCUGCCCGGCCAGCCGCCCCAUCCGGGAGUGAGGUGGGGGGGUCAGCCCCCUGCCCGGCCAGCCGCCCCGUCCGGGAGGUGAGGGGCGCCUCUGCCCGGCCGCCCCUACUGGGAAGUGAGGAGCCCCUCUGCCCGGCCACCACCCCGUCUGGGAGGUGUACCCAACAGCUCAUUGAGAACGGGCCAUGAUGACAAUGGCGGUUUUGUGGAAUAGAAAGCGGGGAAAGGUGGGGAAAAGAUUGAGAAAUCGGAUGGUUGCCGUGUCUGUGUAGAAAGAGGUAGACAUGGGAGACUUUUCAUUUUGUUCUGUACUAAGAAAAAUUCUUAUCCUGUUGAUCUGUGACCUUACCCCCAACCCCGUGCUCUCUGAAACAUGUGCUGUGUCCACUCAGGGCUAAAUGGAUUAAGGGCGGUGCAAGAUGUGCUUUGUUAAACAGAUGCUUGAAGGCAGCAUGCUCGUUGAGAGUCAUCACCACUCCCUAAUCUCAAGUAACCAGGGACACAAACACUGUGGAAGGCCGCAGGGUCCUCUGCCUAGGAAAACCAGAGACCUUUGUUCACUUGUUUAUCUGCUGACCUUCCCUCCACUAUUGUCCUAUGACCCUGCCAAAUCCCCCUCUGCGAGAAACACCCAAGAAUGAUCAAUAAAAAAAUAAAAUAAAAUAAAAUAAAAUAAAAUAAAUAAAGUUUCAUGCGCAUCCGUGUGAAGAGACCACCAAACAGGCUUUGUGUGAGCAGCAUGGCUGUUUAUUUCACCUGGGUGCAGGCGGGCUGAGUCCGAAAAGAGAGUCAGCCAAGGG